ACAAAAGCAAUGAUAGGGAAAGUAAAUCCACUUAUUCUUACACAGAGAGCUUCGGUUGCUGAAAAGAAGCAAAGAAUCGUUGAUUGAAAAUGGCCCUGGAGCUGCAUCGUUGAGCAUACCCGUUAGACGAUGACGAGAGUUGGCACUCGUUACAACUGUCACAGUAUAAGAACCUAUUUUUGCGUUCCGUACUUGUUGAGGCUAGUUAUGCGAAUAACUAGUAAAUAAAGGUGGUAACACGGGUAUAAGCUCGUCCUUGGA
rnacentral:ncRNA from 1 species